UGAGGAAUUUUGCGCAAUGGCCGCAAGGCUGACGCAGCAACGCCGCGUGGGUGAAGAAGGCCUUCGGGUCGUAAAGCCCUGUCAGGUGGGAAGAAAUCCCCGGAGCGAACAGUGUCCGGGGCUUGACGGUACCACCAGAGGAAGCACCGGCUAACUCCGUGCCAGCAGCCGCGGUAAUACGGAGGGUGCGAGCGUUAUUCGGAAUUAUUGGGCGUAAAGCGCGUGCAGGCGGCCGAGCAAGUCUGAUGUGAAAGCCCCGGGCUUAACCUGGGAAGUGCAUUGGAAACUGUUCGGCUUGAGUACUGGAGAGGAAGGGGGAAUUCCCGGUGUAGAGGUGAAAUUCGUAGAGAUCGGGAGGAAUACCAGUGGCGAAGGCGCCCUUCUGGACGGUUACUGACGCUGAGACGCGAAAGCGUGGGGAGCAAACAGG
rnacentral:rRNA from 1 species